rnacentral:lncRNA from 1 species
AACCUUUGCUCUUAUUGAUUUAUAUUUUUGAUGUGUUAUGGGUUCUUGCAUAACUAUUUUGUAGAUAGAUUUUUAAUGGUUUAUGUUUAUUGGUACAUGGACUGCUUUAGUAUUUGAUUUGUUGUUGAUGUAAUAGGCACGAUGAAUGCUUAGAAAUAGAUUUCAUGUGUCCAUAAAAUAUAUUUCAUGUUUUGAUCUAUUCUACUCUUACAUCCUUAAACAAGAAUCGCAGGAUUUAUUCUUGAAUGCAAUAUUAUCAAGGGGGAUUCCGGA